rnacentral:rRNA from 1 species
UACGGGGGGGGCAAGCGUUGUUCGGAAUCACUGGGCGUAAAGCGCACGUAGGCGGCUUUUUAAGUCAGGGGUGAAAUCCUGGAGCUCAACUCCAGAACUGCCUUUGAUACUGAGAAGCUUGAGUCCGGGAGAGGUGAGUGGAACUGCGAGUGUAGAGGUGAAAUUCGUAGAUAUUCGCAAGAACACCAGUGGCGAAGGCGGCUCACUGGCCCGGUACUGACGCUGAGGCACGAAAGCGUGGGGAGCAAACAGG